rnacentral:rRNA from 1 species
UACGAAGGGGGCAAGCGUUGUUCGGAAUGACUGGGCGUAAAGCGCACGUAGGCGGAUGUGCCAGUCAGGGGUGAAAUCCCGGAGCUCAACUCCGGAACUGCCUCUGAUACAGCACGUCUUGAGUUCGAGAGAGGUGGGUGGAAUUCCUAGUGUAGAGGUGAAAUUCGUAGAUAUUAGGAAGAACACCGGUGGCGAAGGCGGCCCACUGGCUCGAUACUGACGCUGAGGUGCGAAAGCGUGGGGAGCAAACAGG